CAGUAGCCGCGGUAAUACGUAGGUGGCGAGCGUUGUCCGGAAUCAUUGGGCGUAAAGGGAGCGCAGGUGGUUUAAUAAGUCUGAUGUGAAAGCCCACGGCUCAACCGUGGAGGGUCAUUGGAAACUGUUAAACUUGAGUGCAGGAGAGAAAAGUGGAAUUCCUAGUGUAGCGGUGAAAUGCGUAGAGAUUAGGAGGAACACCAGUGGCGAAGGCGGCUUUUUGGUCUGUAACUGACACUGAGGCGCGAAAGCGUGGGGAGCAAACAGGAUUAGAUACCCCUGUAGUCCCUGUCUCUUAUAC
rnacentral:rRNA from 1 species